rnacentral:lncRNA from 1 species
UUUUCAUAACUUUAACCCAUCUUAGUUUAUAUAAACUGUCAUUUUCUUUAUUUCUUUUUUUAUGAUAUCUUUUUUAAAACAACAUAUUAUGAUAUCAAUAAAUUAUAUUUUAGAAUUUUAGAUUUAGAAAAACUCAAAUAUCAAUAUUUUACAAUUUAAGUCUAUAAAUUUAAUCAUAAUGUUUUUUGCAUUUUCUCUGUUUUUAGUCUUAAAACAUAUAUUUAACUUUUUUUUUAAAAGUUUAAAAUAAGUAAAUAAUUUUACAAAGGUUGGUUGGAAUAGUAAACAUAGUCAC